UACGAAGGGGGCUAGCGUUGUUCGGAUUUACUGGGCGUAAAGCGCACGUAGGCGGUUCGAUCAGUCAGGGGUGAAAUCCCAGAGCUCAACUCUGGAACUGCCUUUGAUACUGUCGAUCUGGAGUAUGGAAGAGGUGAGUGGAAUUCCGAGUGUAGAGGUGAAAUUCGUAGAUAUUCGGAGGAACACCAGUGGCGAAGGCGGCUCACUGGUCCAUUACUGACGCUGAGGUGCGAAAGCGUGGGGAGCAAACAGG
rnacentral:rRNA from 1 species